UCUUUCUGUCUCAAAUAAAUAAAUAAAAUCUUCAGAUCUCUUUUUGUGGGAAGAAAAAUGAAAGACAUGCUGGGAGAUGCAUUUUUUCUCUCCUGUGGGGCACAGCCAGGUGGCAGACUGAGGAAGUUAUCAGCUCAACAUAAAACGUCUGAGUUAUGGAGAGUGUAGAUCUUAAAUAUCUGCAUCACACAAAAGGAAAUGGAAAGCCACAAUACAGGCUUGAGACUACAUAGUCGGGAGCAGAAUCUACACUGGACCCUGGAUGGAGGCCCACAGACAGUCAGCGCCUGCUCCUGGGUAUCGACACCACUGACUCCCCUGAGGGAGGCCACUGGACCCUGCAGCUGGGACUGCUAUCACUCUGCCUCCUGACAGUUUAAUGACAUGACUGUGACACUGCUCAGACCCCCUGUCCCUAAUGCACAGAUGCUGUCCCAGUGUGCCUGUCACAUGUCCAGAGUCAGAGUCUGGCAGGUGGCCACAUGACUGUUGAAGCUUCAUGUCAUGUCCCAGUCCUGGACUGUUUAGCAAAGUGGGUUCUCCUCUCUGUGGAUGGAGGUGUCUGUGCCCCCAACAAGAUUGUCGAUGUGUGGCAUUCCUAUAUGUGGGAAGAGAGGUACAAGUUCUGGGAAUGGACUUUGGGGUUCAGGAAUGGAAAAGAAUGACAGAUUUCCACAUUUGGAGCCAUGAUCUGAGACUAGAACUUGAUCUG